CGCGUAGGUGGUAGUGUAAGUCUGAGGUGGAAUCCCACGGGCGUUAACCCUCGGAACUGCCUUGGAAACUGCAUUACUUGAGUCAGUGAGGGGAGGGUAGAAUUCCUGGUGUAGCGGUGAAAUGCGUAGAUAUCAGGAGGAAGGCCUGUGGCGAAGGCGGCCCUCUGGUGCUGGACUGACACUGAGGCGCGAAAGCGUGGGGAGCAAACAGGAUUAGAUACCCUGGUAGUCCACGCCCUAAACGGUGGGCACUAGGUGUAGGGCUCGUAAGGGUUCUGUGCCGAAGGGAAACCAUUAAGUGCCCCGCCUGGGGAGUACGGCCGCAAGGUUGAA
rnacentral:rRNA from 1 species